CGGGCAGGCCUUUCAGGCAUCCUCUCCCAAACUUUUCCGGCCCGGUUGGCUCGUCCAGCCGGGCCUUUUUCUUGUCCGCG
rnacentral:sRNA from 1 species